rnacentral:rRNA from 1 species
CACGUAGGGGCCAAGCGUUGUCCGGAUUUAUUGGGCGUAAAGAGCUCGUAGGCGGUUCAGUCAGUCGGGUGUGAAAUCUCCGGGCUCAACUCGGAGGGGCCACCCGAUACUGCUGUGACUCGAGUCCGGUAGGGGAGUGGGGAAUUCCUGGUGUGAGCGGUGGAAAUGACGCAGAUAUCAGGAGGAACACCGGUGGCGAAGGCGCCACUCUGGGCCGGUACUGACGCUGAGGAGCGAAAGCGUGGGUAGCAAACAGG